UAAUCCACGCGAAACCACGCGAACCACGCGACUCGAAACCCUCGUCCAGCGACUCAGUGAAUCGCUCGUCCCAUCGCACGCCGCCAGCGAGAGGAAGAGAUGCCGCCGCCGCCACCACCGAGGGGAAGAGCCCCGCCGCCGCCACCGAGGGGAAGAGCCCCGCCGGCGAGAGGAGGAGCCCCCACGCCGCCGCCCGACUCUGCCCGACGCCCCGACGCCGCCCGACUCUGCCCGACACCGGCGUUACUCCUCCAACAUACUGGCCUUCUCCCCGGUCCUAACCCUGUCCCCGGUGGGACCCGAUCUCGCGGAAGACGGGUGACCACUUCGCUGCCACAAGUCUCCUUCACACCGUGUAGCCCGCAAACAUGUCUCGGAGCAUUUGCCGAUCAAAUUUAUGUUGUAUUGAACCGUUGACUUUUGUUAAUCGAACAUCUUGUAUUUUUCAUUUGGACCGUGGCAUGUAUGCAUGUAACAUUUCAUUUGAACAGUUGAUAGUACAUGCAACAGAUUA